rnacentral:rRNA from 1 species
GACGAACGCUGGCGGCGUGCCUAAUACAUGCAAGUAGAACGCUGAAGCGAGGAGCUUACUCUUCUUGGAUGAGUUGCGAACGGGUGAGUAACGCGUAGGUAACCUGCCUUGUAGCGGGGGAUAACUAUUGGAAACGAUAGCUAAUACCGCAUAACAAUGGAUGACACAUGUCAUUUAUUUGAAAGGGGCAAUUGCUCCACUACAAGAUGGACCUGCGUUGUAUUAGCUAGUAGGUGAGGUAAUGGCUCACCUAGGCGACGAUACAUAGCCGACCUGAGAGGGUGAUCGGCCAAACUGGGACUGAGACACGGCCCAGACUCCUACGGGAGGCAGCAGUAGGGAAUCUUCGGCAAUGGGGGCAACCCUGACCGAGCAACGCCGCGUGAGUGAAGAAGGUUUUCGGAUCGUAAAGCUCUGUUGUAAGUCAAGAACGGGUGUGAGAGUGGAAAGUUCACACUGUGACGGUAGCUUACCAGAAAGGGACGGCUAACUACGUG